rnacentral:rRNA from 1 species
AUUGAACGCUGGCGGCAGGCCUAACACAUGCAAGUCGAACGGUAACAGGAAGAAGCUUGCUUCUUUGCUGACGAGUGGCGGACGGGUGAGUAAUGUCUGGGAAACUGCCUGAUGGAGGGGGAUAACUACUGGAAACGGUAGCUAAUACCGCAUAACGUCGCAAGACCAAAGAGGGGGACCUUCGGGCCUCUUGCCAUCGGAUGUGCCCAGAUGGGAUUAGCUAGUAGGUGGGGUAACGGCUCACCUAGGCGACGAUCCCUAGCUGGUCUGAGAGGAUGACCAGCCACACUGGAACUGAGACACGCUCCAGACUCCUACGGGAGGCAGCAGUGGGGAAUAUUGCACAAUGGGCGCAAGCCUGAUGCAGCCAUGCCGCGUGUAUGAAGAAGGCCUUCGGGUUGUAAAGUACUUUCAGCGGGGAGGAAGGGAGUAAAGUUAAUACCUUUGCUCAUUGACGUUACCCGCAGAAGAAGCACCGGCUAACUCCGUG